rnacentral:rRNA from 1 species
UGGGGAAUAUUGGACAAUGGGCGAAAGCCUGAUCCAGCCAUGCCGCGUGUGUGAAGAAGGUCUUCGGAUUGUAAAGCACUUUAAGUUGGGAGGAAGGGCAGUAAGCGAAUACCUUGCUGUUUUGACGUUACCGACAGAAUAAGCACCGGCUAACUCUGUGCCAGCAGCCGCGGUAAUACAGAGGGUGCAAGCGUUAAUCGGAAUUACUGGGCGUAAAGCGCGCGUAGGUGGUUCGUUAAGUUGAAUGUGAAAGCCCCGGGCUCAACCUGGGAAAUGCAUCCAAAACUGGCGAGCUAGAGUAGGGCAGAGGGUGGUGGAAUUUCCUGUGUAGCGGUGAAAUGCGUAGAUAUAGGAAGGAACACCAGUGGCGAAGGCGACCACCUGGGCUCAUACUGACACUGAGGUGCGAAAGCGUGGGGAGCAAACAGG